CAUCUAGAUCUCUUUCGGAAGGGAAGCCAGACUCCUUUAGAGAGCUCACCAUGGCCUGGCCUCUGGUUUUCCUGGCACUUCUCAGCUACUGUUCAAGUAAAUUGUCUAUGGAUGCUUGAUUUUAAUUUCUUUUUGCUUUUAACAUUUCUUUAACUUUACAUGAUUUUAUUGUUUUUAUAUUGUUGAAAACCACUCUGAUAUAAUUUUUAUGAGACAGAGGGAUAAACAUAUUUAAUGAAUAAAUGAAUAAAAGUAUGGAAGACUCAAUGAACACAAAAUAAAAAAAUCCCUUCCAGUAGCACCUUAGAGACCAACUAAGUUUGUUAUUGGUAUGAGCUUCAGAUGCAACUGAAGAAAUGUGCAUGCACACAAAGGUCAUACCAAUAACAAACUUAGUUGGUCUCUAAGGUGCUACUGGAAGGAUUUUUUUAUUUUGUUUCGACUACGGCAGACCAACACGGCUACCUACCUGUAACUAAAUCAAUGAACACAGACCAAGAUCAAAUCUCUUUUCACUGUGUACUCAUCAUAGGAACAUUAUGCUUUUGUGAUAUUUUUGUGUAACUUAACAAAUUCAUGAUUUAUUUCCUAUUUCUUUGUACAGGUGUCACUUUGCAACCAACAGUGACCCAGACUGCUUCUUCAUCUGUGACCCUCGGCCAAACAGCUAAACUCUCUUGCAUGGCCAGUCAUGGUGGUAACUGGCACUACUUUCAGUGGCAUCAUCAGAAACCUGGACACGCUCCUCUCUUGGUGCUCUUUGGGACCAUCAGGGGAGAAGGGAUCCCAGAU